UACAGGGGGGGCAAGCGUUGUUCGGAAUUACUGGGCGUAAAGGGUCUGUAGGUGGCCAACUAAGUCAGACGUGAAAUCCCUCGGCUUAACCGGGGAACUGCGUUUGAUACUGGAUGGCUUGAGUUUGGGAGAGGGAUGCGGAAUUCCAGGUGUAGCGGUGAAAUGCGUAGAUAUCUGGAGGAACACCGGUGGCGAAGGCGGCAUCCUGGACCAAUACUGACGCUGAGGAGCGAAAGCUAGGGGAGCAAACGGG
rnacentral:rRNA from 1 species